GCAACCAAUCCGCCCCUCUCUUCCGCUUCCCUUGCCUUCCCCACGAAGUCUCCUCUCAUCUGUAAUCCAUGAUGACACGGCAGGCUCGAUCUGGUCGUGCGCUCGUCUCCCGCCCCCAGAACCUGCAGAUCCUCGUCUUCCCAACCGGUGUAUGUCCUAGAGCGGUGGUAGCAUCGGACUCUCUGUCUCGUGGGGCCAGGCCUCCCGUCUGCACCGCGAUGCCGCCGACAUGGAGGCCCGGGCUCGGGCAACUGCCGCGGUGUCGGGUACGCCGGUGAGGUCUCGGGCAACUGUCUGGGAACCACGAGGGACUGGCACGGAUACCGGUUGUGGGUUUCAGCGACGCCGGGUUGUACAUCUAGCCGCAGGUGGCUUGCAGGGUUCUAAAUACGGGGCCCUAAAUUCGAUGAUGCUGAGGAGGAGGCAGACCGGCAGGGUGGUUCUAUUGUGCUGGGUUGAGCGCCAGCCGGAGCGGGCCGGACACACAGAUGGCCGUCGGCGAUGUCGUCGGGAGGGGAGGGCGAGAUGAAGGAAGGAUGAAGAAGGAGACAACAAGCCCAUGGAGAAGCACCAUUGGGAGCAGAUCUGGCCAUCAGCGGCAAGAAGGCCACACUCACCUCCACCUCCGUGCAAUCACCCAGUGGUGGAGUCUCGCCGAAGGAUGUGACGGCAACCGUCGUCUGGAUUAAUUGAUUUAGUAUGUAUGCUCAAACUUGCCCGUGUAAGGCAAGGCAAUUCAGAGACCGGUGGGUUCAGUCACAACUGAUCCAUGCAAUGGCAGAGCAAGGUGGUGGUUGAUACGUUUGGGCUCAGCUUGCAGGCUGGGAAAGGGCAUCCAGUUCUACGCAGCACAAUUCACCGCAACGCGGACACCGGACCUGUAACAUUGCCAUCGUUCUCAUUGGUUAGGAAACCUGGUGGCCUUCUCACCUUAAUCUAUUUUUCAUUGUUGCUAGGUUCCCGUGGCACUUGAACACAGCCAGGUGACCUUCUCACCCUAACCAAGAUUUUAAGCACAUAAUACUAUUCUUUGUGAAUUAAACCCGUCUCACAGGAGCACUGCAUAUGUUCAUGCCAUCCUUGAAUAUAGUAAUACACUGCAUAUGUCCAGGAUAUAUAUGCGGUAUGUCUGUUCUAUAAAGAUCGGUGUGAAGAGUGUUUGCUCAUUGGAACAUGUUUUUCCUUCCUGAUUUAGCAUCUUAUAGUACAAUAUAACUAUCUAGAAAGUAUUUUAUAGGAGGCCACAUUCAGACUUCUGUACUAAAUUCUUCAUAGCCUUAUCAUGAUGGUUGGAGUUAGCCCUCGCAUGAGGCCUACUUAUUAUUUCUCCCACCGUUUUUUGUAAAAAGUACUGGCUUUUCGGUGUUGUUUAUUACUUCCACAGCCAUGUCCUUUGGUGAUCUCUUGAUCUCCCUGUCCUUUUUCUAUUCCCCGACCUAGCCUUCGAGCUAUGGCUGUUUAGAUGUUUGGCAGGCACUUGUUGUUUCUACAUGUAGCAGAUUUAAUUCAAAUUGCCAUUUGUAUGAUGUGUAUUUGCAUGGUUGCGAGUUAACUGUGAAAUUAUCUUUGAUAACCUUAAUCGAUGGCUCAAGCAGAUAAAGAGGUUUGCUUAUCUCUGUUGUACUGUCAUGAUAGUGCCAUAUUAGCCCAUGCUGAACAACUUAUACUGCUGUUCUGUGUGAAGAAUUUAUAUUUGAUUAUCAAAUUAGAUCCUACUAAUAUUCUGCUAGAAGUAUGUCAAUUUGAUUUUCUGUGUCUUGUAUUUCAGUAAUGUUCGAGCUGAAGGGUUUGGACAGGUUUGAGGAUACAUUAUAGGUCCCUUUGGUUGUGGCUCUACAUUUUUUAAUAGCAAGUCUAACAAGGGUCUGCACAGGUUCUUGCAGAAGCAUGGUGAUGAUGAAACAUUUGUUGUUGCUUAUUAUAAACUUGGAAAGCUACAUCGAAUUUUAUGGGGAUAAGGUGUUUGUCAAAUUAUAGUUAGAAAAUCUGAUUAACUUGUUAAUUUGUUGGUUAGCAGUGUGAAUCAGAACUCUGGUUACUUUUAUCUGUUGUGAAGAAUAUAAAUAUUCUUGGUGGUGAUCUUGUGUACAUAUAUAAAAAUCUGAAGGUGAUCAUGAUUCAUCUCACCAAUAAGCUUUUCUUCUGUCUGAAGAGAACAAAGAAGUCCGUACCUAAUAGAACCAAAGUAAUACAUCCUCUUAAGUACACUUGUAGAUAUAGAACAGAAUAGCUUGCAAAAUAGUUAUGUUAUCAUUUUGGAAAUAGCAUUCAGGUAGUCAUACCAAAUUUUCUACUGAUGUCUACUACACACUUCAGGAUCAUACGAGCCCGAGCACAUAAGCGAGUUUUCGUAGUUAGUCAUCAUAUUAAUUUUAACUUUCAAUAAGUCAUAUUUUUCUUGCUAAGGUUACAUGUGUUCCAUUAGGCUAAUCUAACUCGUUGUUUCGCAUGUCUCGUAUAUCCUUUUAGUGUUACUUAGGCACUCUAUUUUUUAACCUUGGAUUUUUGGUUUUUGUUCUGUGAUUUUUUUAUAUGUUGUCCUUGCUUAUUUGAAUCAUCUACAACUUUUGGCAAUUCAGAAUUUCAUCAGGCUUAUCUUGUGGUGUGUAGGCAUCUCAAUCGUACACCACUACCACCAUGCCGCUUUGUCUCUACAACGAGGGAGGUUGCAGGAAUGAGAAUACUAUGAGAUCACAUGAAUGAGAUUUACACGCCCUCUAAAAGUUUCUCAAGUAUGCUCCAAAUUUUUUGUUACAAUCCUCCUUACUUCAGGGUUUGAGUUUGUGAUCUAUAUGGCUGCUACAGGUAUUCCAUGAGUGCUCUCAUGGUGAGGUAAUCUCUCCCAUACUCUCACGCUCUCAUGGCGCCUAGCUGCCUGCCAUCCGGGGAUGGCGAGGAUGGCCAGUGCCUCUCCAUGGUGAGGAACUUUUCUCUCAGUCACUAAGCAGUUGGAUAGUGGUGAUCACAUGAUACUACACCUACCUAUCAGCCUGAGGACAAAGACUCUAAAAGAAUAUGCAUAUCUGCAUAUGAGUCCUCUUCGGAUCCUUCCACCACGCCGGCCUCACCAGUGGAGACUCGGACAUGGGAACCAGUGCCACUUCCAUAUCUGCUGGUGAUGCUCACCCAGGAAUCCACAGGUAGCACCUUGAUCCUCUCCUUGCGGACACCACCUUUUUUAUGAUGCAGCCGUGGCCCGAGGCCAGCGGGGCCAAUGCCACUAUCCUCCUCGACGCCCACCCAGCGCCACACAACUAAUGGUGCUGCCGCCAUGAAGACGCCCACCUCCAUGCUGAUCGAGCUUUUCAACCUGCCCGGAAUGGACAAGGCCAUUCGGGCAUCUGCUCUUGAUGUGCUAUUUGCUCUCUUUUCACAAGAAUUAAAUCAAGUGUAGCCUACAUGAUCAAUUUUGUACAUGCGCUGUACUUUUGUGUUGUAUCUUUCUUUUUCAAGAAGCAGCAACAUGCUUCUGUCAGUAUUAUUUUACUACUAUCCAUUGGCAUGUGCUACCCAGAUCAAAAAAGAAAAGUGAAAAGGAUA